GGAGCUUAGUUCGAUGCUUGGGCAGUUGAAUCUACAGAAAGAUGUGAAGAGAAGACGGCCAUCCGAAUUAAAGUACUAAAUGUGCUUUGUAACAUAUUAGGAACGUUAUUUCCACUAUAUGAGGCAGAAAUACUUGAGAAUUCAGUGUUGCCACAUUU